rnacentral:rRNA from 1 species
UGCGUAGGUGGGUUGGUAAGUCAGUGGUGAAAUCUCCGGGCUUAACUUGGAAACUGCCAUUGAUACUAUCAAUCUUGAAUACCGUGGAGGUCAGCGGAAUAUGUCAUGUAGCGGUGAAAUGCUUAGAUAUGACAUAGAACACCAAUUGCGAAGGCAGCUGGCUACACGAAUAUUGACACUGAUGCACGAAAGCGUGGGGAUCAAACAGGAUUAGAUACCCUGGUAGUCCACGCCCUAAACGAUGGAUACUCGACAUACGCGAUAUACUGUGUGUGUCUGAGCGAAAGCAUUAAGUAUCCCACCUGGGAAGUACGAUCGCAAGAUUGAA